rnacentral:rRNA from 1 species
AGAGUUUGAUCAUGGCUCAGGAUGAACGCUGGCGGCAUGCCUAAUACAUGCAAGUCGAACGGAAUCUUAUAUGUUCCUCGUUUCGGAUUUAGUUCCGAGUUGGGGAACAAUAAGAUUUAGUGGCGGACGGGUGAGUAACACGUUGGUACCUACCCUCUAGUGGGGAAUAACUUCGAGAAAUCGAGGCUAAUACCGCAUAAUAUCUACGGAUUAAAGCAUUUAUGCGCUAGAGGAGGGGCCUGCGUCUGAUUAGCUUGUUGGUGAGGUAAAAAGCUCACCAAGGCGACGAUCAGUAGCUGGAUCGAGAGGUUGACCAGCCACACUGGGACUGAGAUACGGCCCAGACUCCUACGGGAGGCAGCAGUAAGGAAUCUUCCACAAUGGGCGAAAGCCUGAUGGAGCAAUGCCGCGUGCAGGAUGACGGCCUUCGGGUUGUAAACUGCUUUUAUAUAGGAAGAUUAUGACGGUACCAUAUGAAUAAGGACCGGCUAACUACGUG